rnacentral:rRNA from 1 species
AUUGAACGCUGGCGGCAGGCCUAACACAUGCAAGUCGAACGGUAACAGGAAGAAGCUUGCUUCUUUGCUGACGAGUGGCGGACGGGUGAGUAAUGUCUGGGAAACUGCCUGAUGGAGGGGGAUAACUACUGGAAACGGUAGCUAAUACCGCAUAACGUCGCAAGACCAAAGAGGGGGACCUUCGGGCCUCUUGCCAUCGGAUGUGCCCAGACGGGAUUAGCUAGUAGGUGGGGUAACGGCUCACCUAGGCGACGAUCCCUAGCUGGUCUGAGAGGAUGACCAGCCACACUGGAACUGAGACACGGUCCAGACUCCUACGGGAGGCAGCAGUGGGGAAUAUUGCACAAUGGGCGCAAGCCUGAUGCAGCCAUGCCGCGUGUAUGAAGAAGGCCUUCGGGUUGUAAAGUACUUUCAGCGGGGAGGAAGGGAGUAAAGUUAAUACCUUGGCUCAUUGACGUUACCCGCAGAAGAAGCACCGGCUAACUCCGUG